AUUGAACGCUGGCGGCAUGCUUUACACAUGCAAGUCGAACGGCAGCGCGGGCUUCGGCCUGGCGGCGAGUGGCGAACGGGUGAGUAAUACAUCGGAACGUGCCCAGUAGUGGGGGAUAGCUCGGCGAAAGCCGGAUUAAUACCGCAUACGACCUGAGGGUGAAAGCGGGGGAUCUUCGGACCUCGCGCUAUUGGAGCGGCCGAUGGCAGAUUAGCUAGUUGGUGGGGUAAAGGCCUACCAAGGCGACGAUCUGUAGCUGGUCUGAGAGGACGACCAGCCACACUGGGAGUGAGACACGGCCCAGACUCCUGCGGGAGGCAGCAGUGGGGAAUUUUGGACAAUGGGCGAAAGCCUGAUCCAGCAAUGCCGCGUGUGUGAUGAAGGCCUUCGGGUUGUAAAGCACUUUUGGCGGGAACGAAAAGGACUGUGCCAAUACCACGGUUCGAUGACGGUACCCGCAGAAUAAGCACCGGCUAACUACGUG
rnacentral:rRNA from 1 species